rnacentral:lncRNA from 10 species
AGCCCGGCGGAAUCUCCAAGGCCAGGGGAGGGUGCGCUAGGAGUCAGGGGUCCUUGUGAGCGGCGGCACCUGGAGGGUCCCGCAUCUCGCCUGGGCCGUUCCCACCCUGGCUUUCUCCUGGCACCACCCAUCAUUGUUGGUCUCAAGUAAUUCCCGAAUCUCACUCCCAGUUUUCCAUUAAAAUAUUCAGAUUUUCGGCCGGGCGCGGUGGCCGAGGCGGGCGGAUCACGAGGUCAGGAGAUAGAGACCAUCCUGGC